GGCUUGGUCUUGGACUUAGGUUUGAGUUUGGGCUUAGGCUAAGGCAUAAACUUAGGCUUUGGCUUUGGCUUAGGCUUAGGCUUAGA
ensembl:ncRNA R03H10.10 ncRNA